GAACGCACCUUGCGCCCCUUGGUAUUCCAUGGGGCAUGCCUGUUCGAGCGUCAUUUGUACCCUCAAGCUUUGCUUGGUGAUGGGUGUUUGUUCCGCUGCAACGCGUGAACUCGCCUCAAAUCAAUUGGCAGCCGGCAAUCUGGUGUUGGAGCGCAGCACAUUUUGCGCUCUUCGCUGUGGAUUGCGGGCGUCCAUGAAGCCUAUAUUUUCGCGCUUGACCUCGGAUCAGGUAGGGAUACCCGCUGAACUUAAG
rnacentral:misc_RNA from 1 species